rnacentral:rRNA from 1 species
UACGUAGGGGGCGAGCGUUGUCCGGAGUUACUGGGCGUAAAGGGCAUGCAGGCGGUCAGGCGCGUUUUUGUGUGACAGCGGAUGGCUUAACUAUCCGAGGAUACGAGAUACGGCGUGACUUUGAGAGCGCGAGAGGGACACGGAAUUCCGGGUGGAGUGGUGAAAUGCGUAGAGAUCCGGAGGAACACCGAAGGCGAAGGCAGUGUCCUGGCGCGUAUCUGACGCUGAGGUGCGAAAGCCAGGGGGAGCGAACGGG